UACGGAGGGAGCUAGCGUUAUUCGGAAUUACUGGGCGUAAAGCGUGCGCAGGCGGUUUUGUAAGUCUGUCGUGAAAUCCCCGGGCUCAACCUGGGGAAUGGCGAUGGAGACUGCAAGGCUAGAGUUUGGCAGAGGGGGGUAGAAUUCCGCGUGUAGCAGUGAAAUGCGUAGAUAUGCGGAGGAACACCGAUGGCGAAGGCAAUCCCCCUGGACCUGUACUGACGCUCAUGCACGAAAGCGUGGGGAGCAAACGAGG
rnacentral:rRNA from 1 species